CUCUUAUCAAGAGAGGUGGAGGGACUUGGCCCCAUGAAGCCUCGGCAACCGAGAAGAUAGGUGCCAAAUCCAACAGAUGGCGCCUGAGAGAUAGGAG
rnacentral:ncRNA from 2 species